rnacentral:rRNA from 1 species
CCUACGGGAGGCAGCAGUGGGGAAUAUUGGGCAAUGGGCGCAAGCCUGACCCAGCAACGCCGCGUGAAGGAAGAAGGCCCUCGGGUUUUUAACUUCCUUUUAUAGGGACGAAGACAGUGACGGUAGUUGCUGAAUAAGCCACGGCUAACUACGUGCCAGCAGCCGCGGUAAUACGUAGGCGGCAAGCGUUAUCCGGAUUUAAUGGGUGUAAAGGGCGUGUAGGUGGGAGGGUAAGUCAGACGUGAAAUUCCAGGGCUCAACCCUGGAACUGCGUUUGAUACUGUUCUGCUUGAGUGAUGGGGAGGUAGGCGGAAUGCCGGGUGUAGCGGUGAAAUGCGUAGAUAUACGGAGGAACACCGAUGGCGAAGGCAGCCUGCUGGACAUUAACUGACGCUGAGGCACGAAAGCGUGGGGAGCAAACAGGAUUAGAUACCCCUGUAGUC